rnacentral:rRNA from 1 species
UGCUGAAUACAGGAUAGCGGCGGACGGGUGAGUAACGCGUGAGCAACCUGCCUCUAAGCGAGGGAUAACACAGGGAAACCUGUGCUAAUACCUCAUAAUGUAUACUUGUCACAUGGCAGGUAUACCAAAGGUUUACUGCUUAGAGAUGGGCUCGCGUCCGAUUAGCUAGUUGGUGAGGUAAUGGCUCACCAAGGCGACGAUCGGUAGCCGAACUGAGAGGUUGAUCGGCCACAUUGGGACUGAGACACGGCCCAGACUCCUACGGGAGGCAGCAGUGGGGAAUAUUGCGCAAUGGGGGAAACCCUGACGCAGCAACGCCGCGUGAAGGAUGAAGGUUUUCGGAUUGUAAACUUCAGCAAGCAGGGACGAGU